ACUCCUACGGGAGGCAGCAGUGGGGAAUAUUGCACAAUGGGCGCAAGCCUGAUGCAGCCAUGCCGCGUGUAUGAAGAAGGCCUUCGGGUUGUAAAGUACUUUCAGCAGUGAGGAAGGUGGGUAUGUUAAUAGCAUACUCAUUUGACGUUAGCUGCAGAAGAAGCACCGGCUAACUCCGUGCCAGCAGCCGCGGUAAUACGGAGGGUGCGAGCGUUAAUCGGAAUUACUGGGCGUAAAGCGCAUGCAGGUGGUUUGUUAAGUCAGAUGUGAAAGCCCGGGGCUCAACCUCGGAAUUGCAUUUGAAACUGGGCAAACUAGAGUACUGUAGAGGGGGGUAGAAUUUCAGGUGUAGCGGUGAAAUGCGUAGAGAUCUGAAGGAAUACCGGUGCGAAGGCGGCCCCCUGGACAGAUACUGACACUCAGAUGCGAAAGCGUGGGGAGCAAACAGGAUUAGAUACCUGGUAGGCUCUGC
rnacentral:rRNA from 1 species